AUUUGCGUGAGGGGGAAAAAAUACCCGCUUGUCCGUCCUGUCCCUUCAGGCUGCGCAACGCUGGAGGGCGAUGGGAGCUCCACACAGGUGGGACGAGCCUAGCAGCACCAUGGAAAACCCACACACAAGUGAAGCCCCGACCCACCUCCCAAGUGCCCAUCUGAGCACCCCUCGUGGACUCUGAGCAGGGGGUUGCCAUCACCAACUCCAAGUCUUGCAGCCCCUCUUCCCUUCAGUCUGGCUGCCACCUUCUUCAUUGCCCUGGAAAAAAAUAAUGAAGUUUCACCAUUUAAAGGGUUUCAGUGCAGCUUGCUAUGGGAACACUGGAGAGUAACACAAAUGGCCAAUUGUCCUAAUAGCCACCAUGGAUUGGAUGGAUGCUAACAACAGGCUCACAGUUCUCCUUCUGUUGCCUCCUUUUAUCCACAUGAGAAUCAAACAAGAUCUUCUAGGAAUCUAAAAAUGUGUGUGAGAUUUCACCUGUAAAAGCUGAGUUAUUCUGAAUCUGCGUUUUCCUGAAGAUUUUUCUUUGUGUGGUCAGCCUUCUUGGAAAAAUCCAGAAGCCACCAUCAACUUACAACCCUGCAUGAAUAAAUGUAAUGUUUCGUUUGGAGAUUGAGAGCUGAUAUAUAGGACAAGGAUAACUGGCCCAAUACAGACAAAGUUCC
ensembl:lncRNA LINC01229 long intergenic non-protein coding RNA 1229